UACAGAGGUCUCAAGCGUUGUUCGGAUUCAUUGGGCGUAAAGGGUGCGUAGGUGGCGGGGUAAGUCAGGUGCGAAAUCUCGGGGCUCAACCCCGAAACUGCACUUGAUACUGCCUUGCUCGAGUACUGGAGAGGAGAUUGGAAUUUACGGUGUAGCAGUGAAAUGCGUAGAUAUCGUAAGGAAGACCAGUGGCGAAGGCGAAUCUCUGGACAGUUACUGACACUGAGGCACGAAGGCCAGGGGAGCAAACGGG
rnacentral:rRNA from 1 species